AACGAACGCUGGCGGCAUGCCUAACACAUGCAAGUCGAACGGGAUCCUAGCUUGCUAGGUGAGAGUGGCGGACGGGUGAGUAACACGUGGGAAUCUGCCUUUUGGUUCGGGAUAACCGCGGGAAACUGCGGCUAAUACCGAAUGCCCUCGAGAGAGGAAAGAUUUAUCGCCAGAAGAGGAGCCCGCGUCCGAUUAGGUAGUUGGUGGGGUAAAGGCCUACCAAGCCGACGAUCGGUAGCUGGUCUGAGAGGAUGAUCAGCCACACUGGGACUGAGAUACGGCCCAGACUCCUACGGGAGGCAGCAGUGGGGAAUAUUGGACAAUGGGGCGAACCCUCGAUCCAGCAAUGCCG
rnacentral:rRNA from 1 species